CACGUAGGGGGCAAGCGUUGUCCGGAUUUAUUGGGCGUAAAGAGCGUGUAGGCGGCCCGAUAGGUCCGUUGUGAAAACUCGAGGCUCAACCUCGAGGCGCCGAUGGAAACCAUUUGGCUAGAGUCCGGAAGAGGAGAGUGGAAUUCCUGGUGUAGCGGUGAAAUGCGCAGAUAUCAGGAAGAACACCCGUGGCUAAGGCGGCUCUCUAGUACGGUACUGACGCUGAGACGCGAAAGCGUGGGGAGCGAACAGG
rnacentral:rRNA from 1 species